rnacentral:rRNA from 1 species
UACAGGAGGGGCAAGCGUUGUUCGGAAUUACUGGGCGUAAAGGGCGCGUAGGCGGCCUUCUAAGUCGAACGUGAAAUCCCCCGGGCUCAACCCGGGAACUGCGUCCGAUACUGGAAGGCUUGAGUCCGGGAGAGGGAUGCGGAAUUCCAGGUGUAGCGGUGAAAUGCGCAGAUAUCAGGAAGAACACCCGUGGCGAAGGCGGGUCACUGGACCGGAGCUGACGCUGAGGCGCGAAAGCGUGGGGGAGCAAACAGG